CCACCUAUCGCGCCGAGCUCCAUCCAAUAGGCGGGGGACAUCGUAACUGGAUGGAGACGGGGGACCCACCGGUCCACCGUGAUCGGACCGGGGCCGCUCGCGGCCCCUUGGGGUGAAGCCGGCGCCGGCUCCCGCGCGGAGUGCGACGUCGGCCGGGUGGCCUCUCCAACCCGAACCCGACAGCUGACCUCGCAGGCGCGUUACGAGAGAGGAA
rnacentral:sRNA from 2 species